GGGCGCUAACUGCGCGGAGUCCCACAGAGCACGCCCCUCAGCCGAGUGUCCGGAGGCGCCGAGGCGCGGAGCGGAGAGUGGGCGCCGAAGCGUGUCUCCGAUGCGUUGGAGGCGGAAGGGAAGCCCGGGGGCUGCGGGCUGCGCCGGGGGGUCGGGCAGAGACGCUGGGCAGCGAGAGCCCUGCGGCAGGCGCGGUGGCCGUCCCCUCCCGGCUUGGCUUGCAGCCCUUUAGAUGCCGCCAGUUUGCAGAGACGGGGCUGCCCCAAGCCUCGGACUCCCACGCCGCAUCCCGAGCGGGAGAAGCGUCGCUCAACCUUGAAUCCGGUUCGGGGACUGACCCGGACUUGACCUCUCCCUCCGCGCCGCCCGCACUCUCGACCGCACACUGUGGCCCGCAAGCCCAGACGUCGCCAGCAUCGCUCUUUGGUCUCGACGCCCAGCUCCGGGCUCUGGCGCCGAGCUUCCAAGCUGGGGUGGGGACCGGACGGUGUUGUCCGCGGAGUUUGGGGGUAAGCAGGAUAGAGGAUCUCGGCUGGUUCUCGAGUGUCGCCGGCGGGUCAGGCCCAUCCUGUGAGAGACCUCCCCAGCGGACCUGGGCAGCCAAGGUCGAAGUUUUAGGAGUGUAAGGCAGCAAGGCCAAGGACAUUAUGGAGGACAGGGCACACACCAUUCCGGCGCUGCCCUCAAACUUGGGGGCUCCAUGCCUUUUGCGGUUAUUUGCUCUGCACCUCAUUCCUCCCGGCCAGCGCGCACAGCCAAACCCCGCGGCGGCCUGAACCGGGAGGAGGUGCGGGGUGGAGAGGCGGCCCUCCUUAGGUCUCCAGCCUGUCACAUCUGCACUUAUUUAAAGCUCGGCUGGUGGUCCUCGCUCUCUGGAAUGCCAAUUGCAGGCCUGGCCGCCUACGACAUUUGCAUUGAUUAGCCAGCCGGUCAUGGGGGAGGCCAAAGGCAGGGAGAAGGGGGUUUGAGGGAGACAGGAGGUUCACUAUAUUCUUCCUGACCCCGUACUGAGUGAGAGUCAGCUUGGGAGCCCAAAGGUGGUUUCCUUCACACCAGAUAAAGAGUUGAAUUCAUCAGGGAACAGAGGACUGAACUUCUAGAACUUUCUAUGUGUAUAGGAAUUGGCUGUUGCCUUGAAGCAUGUUCUUUGUGGUCCACGUGCACACACCACCAUAAAUCUCUGAAGGCUCCAGCGCUGAAUCAGGCAGAGAAGGUGGACAAGCGCUGCGACCUCACCUCUCUCCAGGCCCUGCAAGUCUGUAAGGUAGUGUCUGUGAUACGGUGCUUCCUCAGUGGGCAGCUCUGAGAUGUUUGCUGGUGGCCGGCCAUAAAAAGAGAUUGACCUGCCUCAUUGGUCAUAUUGUACACCACCUCUAAAAAGGUACAGGCAACCUGUCUCAGAGUUCUCACCCCCAAGGGGAAGAGGCAAAUACGUUGGUUGAGAAAGAAGAAAAGUAAGGCAGCCCCCACAGGCUUGGAGAGAGGAGGGAAGGUUCCCAGAGAAGCGAU
ensembl:lncRNA